rnacentral:rRNA from 1 species
GGCUAUGGCACAAAUAGUACGGCGAGUGAGCGGUAAAAGCUCAAAUUUGAAAUCUGGUACUUUCAGUGCCCGAGUUGUAAUUUGUAGAAUUUGUCUUUGAUUAGGUCCUUGUCUAUGUUCCUUGGAACAGGACGUCAUAGAGGGUGAGAAUCCCGUUUGGCGAGGAUACCUUUUCUCUGUAAGACUUUUUCGAAGAGUCGAGUUGUUUGGGAAUGCAGCUCAAAGUGGGUGGUAAAUUCCAUCUAAAGCUAAAUAUUGGCGAGAGACCGAUAGCGAACAAGUACAGUGAUGGAAAGAUGAAAAGAACUUUGAAAAGAGAGUGAAAAAGUACGUGAAAUUGUUGAAAGGGAAGGGCAUUUGAUCAGACAUGGUGUUUUUUGCAUGCACUCGCCUCUCGUGGGCUUGGGCCUCUCAAAAAUUUCACUGGGCCAACAUCAAUUCUGGCAGCAGGAUAAAUCAUUAAGAAUGUAGCUACUUCGGUAGUGUUAUAGCUUUUUGGAAUACUGUUAGCCGGGAUUGAGGACUGCGCUUCGGCAAGGAUGUUGGCAUAAUGGUUAAAUGCCGCCCGUCUUGAAACACGGACCAAA